rnacentral:rRNA from 1 species
CUUGCUUCCGCCGACGACCGGCGCACGGGUGCGUAACGCGUAUACAAUCUACCUUAUACUGGGGUAUAGCCUUUAGAAAUGAAGAUUAACCCCCCAUAGUCUCUUAGAGUGGCAUCACUUCUAGAGUAAAGGUUACGGUAUAAGAUGAGUAUGCGUUCUAUUAGUUUGUUGGUGUGGUAACGGCACACCAAGACUACGAUAGAUAGGGGCCCUGAGAGGGGGAUCCCCCACACUGGUACUGGGACACGGACCAGACUCCUACGGGAGGCAGCAGUGAGGAAUAUUGGACAAUGGAGGCAACUCUGAUCCAGCCAUGCCGCGUGCAGGAAGACUGCCCUAUGGGUUGUAAACUGCUUUUAUACAGGAAGAAACACCUCUACGUGUAGAGGCUUGACGGUACUGUAAGAAUAAGGAUCGGCUAACUCCGUGCCAGCAGCCGCGGUAAUACGGAGGAUCCAAGCGUUAUCCGGAAUCAUUGGGUUUAAAGGGUCCGUAGGUGGAUAAUUAAGUCAGAGGUGAAAUCUUGCAGCUCAACUG